rnacentral:rRNA from 1 species
UUCGGGGUACUCGAGCGGCGAACGGGUGAGUAACACGAGAGCAACCUGCCCCAGGCUUUGGGAUAACCCCGGGAAACCGGGGCUAAUACCGAAUAUGACCUUGCACCGCAUGGUGUUUGGUGGAAAGUUUUUCGGCUUGGGAUGGGCUCGCGGCCUAUCAGCUUGUUGGUGGGGUGAUGGCCUACCAAGGCGACGACGGGUAGCCGGCCUGAGAGGGCGACCGGCCACACUGGGACUGAGACACGGCCCAGACUCCUACGGGAGGCAGCAGUGGGGAAUAUUGCACAAUGGGCGGAAGCCUGAUGCAGCGACGCCGCGUGAGGGAUGACGGCCUUCGGGUUGUAAACCUCUUUCAGCAGGGACGAAGCGUAAGUGACGGUACCUGCAGAAGAAGCGCCGGCCAACUACGUGCCAGCAGCCGCGGUAAGACGUAGGGCGCGAGCGUUGUCCGGAUUUAUUGGGCGUAAAGAGCUCGUAGGCGGCUUGUCGCGUCGACCGUGAAAACCUGGGGCUCAACCCCAGGCCUGCGGUCGAUACGGGCAGGCUAGAGUUCGGUAGGGGAGACUGGAAUUCCUGGUGUAGCGGUGAAAUGCGCAGAUAUCAGGAGGAACACCGGUGGCGAAGGCGGGUCUCUGGGCCGAUACUGACGCUGAGGAGCGAAAGCGUGGGGAGCGAACAGGAUUAGAUACCCUGGUAGUCCACGCUGUAAACGUUGGGCGC